rnacentral:tRNA from 1 species
UAUAAUUUAGUGUAUGAUGCACUUGAGAUUUUGAUUCUCAAAGAUAAGUUUAAUUCUUAAAUUUAUAA